rnacentral:rRNA from 1 species
UACGGAGGGUGCAAGCGUUAUCCGGAUUCACUGGGUUUAAAGGGUGCGUAGGAGGGCAGGUAAGUCAGUGGUGAAAUCUCCGAGCUUAACUUGGAAACUGCCGUUGAUACUAUCUGUCUUGAAUAUUGUGGAGGUGAGCGGAAUAUGUCAUGUAGCGGUGAAAUGCUUAGAUAUGACAUAGAACACCAAUUGCGAAGGCAGCUUACUAUGGUAUGAUUGACGCUGAGGCACGAAAGCGUGGGGAUCAAACAGG